rnacentral:lncRNA from 1 species
CACUUGUCACAGAUCCAUGGAAGGUGCCCGCAGGUUUUUCAGAGCCUGAGAAAGCAGGAGGGAGGCUGGGUCAGUCUCACAGGAGGAAGGAGCCCUGCACCGUGGGAGGGCUUUGCAUUCCCAGGCGGACAGAAAGUUCUCUGCAGGUGGGAACAGAGCGACCCAGCCCCUGGCUGGAGCUGGGCACAGACCAGGGGCUGGGUACAUUUUUCCAAGUGAGUGUGAAUUGAUGGUGUCUCCUGAUGGGUGGAGGAGAGAGGACUGGCAGUGGGCCCUCUCAUAGCCACUUAGGAGCUAUGAAACCUGGAGCAAAUGACUUGACUUCUCCAAGGCUCAGUCUUGUCCUCUGUAAAAUGAGGAUGAUAACAUUUAGCCUCUCGGGCUUGUCAUGGGGAAGCUGCUACCAACACAGAUGAGGAAGGGCUUGCGGAUGCCGUACCUCCACCUCGUGCUACUGUUGAUGAUGCUGUGUUGGGAGAGAAGGAACCUUGGGAGGUCUCUACCCAGAUGAGACACGCUGAGGUCACCUACAUCUGGAAUCCCAGAAUCUCCUGUGACCACCUCUGGUCCCAACCAUCCCUGUGGCCUUCAAUGGAUCUUAAGAAUGUUGCACUUGACCCACAGAGUGAAAGGAACACUGAGCCAGGUUCGCACACCCCAAGGUCCCAGGGUUUUUUCUUUGCACCUGUUGCUCUUGCCACGAUCUCAGGGAAGAGCAGCUUUGGAAGGAAGGGGCCUUCUGUGCUUUCACAGCAUUUACUCCCCACUAAGGCCCCUCCUUUGUCCACAUCACCACCAGAAGCCAGAUCUAAAUCGUGAGCAGAUUUCACUUAUCUGGAGGCUUCCGGAGUAGGUGGAGGACGGCCGGCAGCUUUGUGGUCUGCUACUGACUCCAGCACUGCGUCCUGAACCUCACACAAGUGUAGAUGCUGUGAUUUAACUCAAUUGCUCCUUUGGUGGACAUUAUGAUUUCCAUUAUUUCUGUGAAGGACCCAAGGUUUGGAAAGACAGCAGGGCAAGUGGGACCCCCAACCCAGGACUUCCAUCUCAAAGUUCCUAGUGCUUUCCCAUUACAGUCAUUUGGCCCAUUCCUACGAAAUCCCUGCAGAGCACUGGAUCCUGAGUUUGGCCCAAACACAGCCGCCCUGGCCAGCCCAGCCCUUUCCUGGCUAGGGAGGAUCUUGAAUGCAGGCCAAUGUGCUUGUUACCUACCCUCCAGAGAAACCAGAGGUUUUCUUAGGUGACUCACACAAUACAGAACUGAUAUCUGAUCCUAUUAAUUGGAACUCAACAACUAGGAAGGGAAUUAACACAUCCUACCCCAUGCAGAGUAUCCAGAGACAGCAGGGUCCUACGGAUCCUACAGGAGAGUUUUCUGAUAAGAAGCCUUAGGGAUAGCAAAUUCAAUUGCCUCAGGGUUCAAAGUUAGGAAGAACAGGUCAGGAAGGCACUGGGAUAAGUCCUUUCUCUUCAUGAUUGAACUGCAUCCUCUCAACAUUCCUGGGAAGUAGAAAUUACCUCUAGCUGCUUUAUUUAUCUUUAAGAUUUUGUUUAUUUGAGGGAUCCCUGGGUGGCUCAGUGGUUGAGCGUCUGCCUGUGGCUCAGGGCAUGAUCCUGGAGUCCUAGGAUCGAGUCCCACAUCGGGCUCCCUGCAUGGAGCCUGCUUCUCCCUCUGCCUGUGUCUCCGCCCCUCUCUCUCUCUCUCCCUCUCUGUGUCUCUCAUGAAUAAAUAAACUCUUAAAAAAAAAAAAGAAUUUGUUUAUUUGAGAGAGCAAGAGUGUGAGAGAGAGCAAGAGCAUGAUCAAUCCAGGAGGUCAAAUGUGUAACGUCCUUAUCACAGCAGACAAUGUAGCUAGGCAUCAGGGACACACCGAUGAAGUGGCCAAAGGACCAGAUGGUAGUCCGAGUGAGUGGCCCAACUAUCCAGUGCCAGGGGAGGGUUGUGCUAGUCCUGGCUUGCAUACUUCUCUCUUGGAUUCUGGAAAAAUCCCCCACUGUGUCUCUCAGCAUUUCACAUUGCACAGACCCACCAGAGCCGCCUAUGCUGUAUUUGAUGCUGUCGUUCUCCUACUCAGCAACCUUCAGUUUUCCCACCUCACUUCCCAAAAAUCCCCACUCAGCAUCCUGUGUGUCAGAUCACCUGGAAUCAUUACACCCAUGUUCUCCUCUGCUCUAAGUGCCCAGCCCUGACUCCCACCAGGAGUCAUCUCAGCUUCCUCCCAAGACACCUCACCUGUGCCUUUCUCUCUCUCUCUCUUUCUUUCUUUCUUUCUUUCAAUAUUUUAUUUAUUUAUUCAUGAGAGAGAGAGACAGAGACACAGACAGAGGGAGAAGCAGGCUCCACGCAGGGAGCCCAACGUGGGACUCGAUCCCGGGUCUCUGGGAUCACACCCCGGGCCGAAGGCGGCGCUAAACCACUGAGCUACCCAGGCUGCCCACCUGUGCCUUUCUUAAGCCAUGCAUCACUCUGCCCUUCUUGCCUGUGAGCAACUUGAGAGUCAAGAUUGUGGAGUUUUUUUUGUAAGUGAGUGUGUCUGUUCCCAGGCACCCAGUGUGGGGCUCACGCUACACAGGUGCACUAGACAAGCUUUGCUUGGGUCCACUCGGUACCUGUUCCUCCUUAUUCUGCUAACAGCCUCAAGAUUUUUCUUUGAGGAACCACCCUCACUCACACAAAGUGCAUGUGGUUUGCAUGGGGCUGACUGCCCACUUCCUGGUUCUUAAGGAAUCAUGUGUCUCAAGCCUGGUUCAUCUAUAUAUUCCAUAAACUAUCCCCCGAUCAAGUGAUAGGCUUAGGAAUGGACAUCUGGGGCACAUGGGUGGCUCAGUGGUUCAGCAUCUGCUUUCAGCACAGGUCAUGAUCCUGGGGUCCUGGGAUCGAGUCCUGCAUCAGGCUCCCUGCAUGGAACCUGCUUCUCUCUCUGCCUACGUCUUGGUCUCUCUCUCUGUGUCCCUCAUGAAUAAAUAAAUGAAAUCUUAAAAA